rnacentral:rRNA from 1 species
UAGGGAAUCUUCCGCAAUGGGCGAAAGCCUGACGGAGCAACGCCGCGUGAGUGAUGAAGGUCUUCGGAUCGUAAAACUCUGUUAUUAGGGAAGAAUAAAUGUGUAAGUAACUAUGCACGUCUUGACGGUACCUGAUCAGAAAGCCACGGCUAACUACGUGCCAGCAGCCGCGGUAAUACGUAGGUGGCAAGCGUUAUCCGGAAUUAUUGGGCGUAAAGCGCGCGUAGGCGGUUUUUUAAGUCUGAUGUGAAAGCCCCCGGCUCAACCGGGGAGGGUCAUUGGAAACUGGUUGACUUGAGUGCAGAAGAGGAGAGUGGAAUUCCAUGUGUAGCGGUGAAAUGCGUAGAUAUAUGGAGGAACACCAGUGGCGAAGGCGACUCUCUGGUCUGUAACUGACGCUGAGGCUCGAAAGCGUGGGUAGCAAACAGG